AGCCCAUUCAAAAGCUAUAGUAUAGAGUUUGCAGAGUUUGCAGUAAAAGUCUAAUCAACUCAGUUGAACAAACCCUCCUGAAAAAACCACAGCUAGCAAAGAAUUAACUGAUCAUCAAGAACAAAAUCUGGAAUAAUUAUGAGCCCAUUAAUAGGAAUAAUUACUAACAGAUAGUAUAUAUGUAGGAAGAGUAGCCUGACAAUUAAAGGUGGAAAAUAAUAAUAAUAAUAAUAAUUAUGGGGGUUAGUUAAUAGUUAGGAUAUUUUGGGAGGAAAAAGAGGGGGAGAGAGCAUUGAAUAGGGGAAGGUGUGAUUAGGUAAUGAUGAUAAUAUUAUAUGCAGAGAAACAGCAGCAGGUGCAGUGGUUGCAGACUUGCAGCGGCAGCAGCAGCAGCUAGCAUGCCUUUCCUUUCUAUUUCUCUUCAUUAAAACCAAAU
rnacentral:lncRNA from 1 species